rnacentral:rRNA from 1 species
CAAUAGCGUAUAUUAAAGUUGUUGCGGUUAAAAAGCUCGUAGUUGGAUUUCUGCCGAGGACGACCGGUCCGCCCUCUGGGUGUGUAUCUGGUUUGGCCUGGGCAUCUUCUUGGAGAACGUAGCUGCACUUGACUGUGUGGUGCGGUGUCCAGGACUUUUACUUUGAGGAAAUUAGAGUGUUUCAAGCAGGCACACGCCUUGAAUACAUUAGCAUGGAAUAAUAAGAUAGGACCUCGGUUCUAUUUUGUUGGUUUCUAGAGCUGAGGUAAUGAUUAAUAGGGAUAGUUGGGGGCAUUCGUAUUUAACUGUCAGAUGUGAAAUUCUUGGAUUUGUUAAAGACGGACUACUGCGAAAGCAUUUGCCAAGGAUGUUUUCAUUGA